ensembl:lncRNA
GCUACAUCAACAACUCACACACAUAGGUACGUUUGGCCGCUAUUUUGAACAUUUUGAAGUUUUGGCCGCGUUUGCAGAUCGAUUCCAUACCAGACGUGUUAUGAUCCGAUAAAGUUCGGCACGAUGUAAAAUCAAUAAAUCUCUGUUUUUGUUAUCGAGACUGUAAGUCGGCAAGGAGGGGUUAAAGAGGGGAGAUGGAGACACACUUGGUGGAGACCUGCAUGGGAAUUUAACAGUUGUCCGUCCUCCAGGAUCCUCAGUCUGUCUGCCGCUCCCUGCCUGGAUUUCUCCGCCUGGAUUUCCCUGCCAUUCCACUGUCUCCAUAGCUGUGUCCCUGGCAAUAAACCAGUUUCCCCCGG